UGGCGGACGGGUGAGUAACGCGUGGGUAACCUGCCUCAUACAGGGGGAUAACAGUUGGAAACGGCUGCUAAUACCGCAUAAGCGCACAGUACCGCAUGGUACGGUGUGAAAAACUCCGGUGGUAUGAGAUGGACCCGCGUCUGAUUAGCUAGUUGGUGGGGUAACGGCCUACCAAGGCGACGAUCAGUAGCCGACCUGAGAGGGUGACCGGCCACAUUGGGACUGAGACACGGCCCAA
rnacentral:rRNA from 1 species